CACCGCGGUUAUACGAGAGGCCCAAGUUGAUGAAAAGCGGCGUAAAGAGUGGUUAGGGAAACGUUAAAACUAAAGCCGAAUACCCUCAAGGCCGUUAUACGCCUCCUCGACGGUACGAAGACCAACUACGAAAGUGGCUUUGCCAGACCUGACCCCACGAAAGCUGAGGAA
rnacentral:rRNA from 1 species